UUUGCUCGAUCGCAUCGAUUUCGAAUUACUGCGCAACAACGCCAAGCCGUUCGUCGGCUACAGCGACGU
rnacentral:misc_RNA from 1 species